UACGUAGGGCGCGAGCGUUGUCCGGAAUUAUUGGGCGUAAAGAGCUCGUAGGCGGCCUGUCGCGUCCGCUGUGAAAUCCCGGGGCUUAACCCCGGGCCUGCAGUGGAUACGGGCAGGCUGGAGGCAGGGCAGGGGAGAACGGAAUUCCCGGUGUAGCGGUGAAAUGCGCAGAUAUCGGGAGGAACACCGGUGGCGAAGGCGGUUCUCUGGGCCUGUACUGACGCUGAGGAGCGAAAGCGUGGGGAGCGAACAGG
rnacentral:rRNA from 1 species